GUAGGGAAUAUUGGACAAUGGGGGCAACCCUGAUCCAGCGACGCCGCGUGAGUGAUGAAGGCCUUCGGGUCGUAAAGCUCUGUUGCAGGGGAAGAACACAAUGACGGUACCCUGCUAGAAAGGAUCGGCUAACUUCGUGCCAGCAGCCGCGGUAAGACGAGGGAUCCUAGCGUUGUUCGGAAUUAUUGGGCGUAAAGCGGGUGCAGGUGGCUUGGUAAGUCAGAUGUGAAAGCCUGGGGCUUAACCCCAGAAGUGCAUUUGAUACUGCUGAGCUUGAGUGCUGGAGAGGCUAUUAGAAUUCCUGGUGUAGUGGUGAAAUACGUAGAUAUCAGGAGGAAUACCGGAGGCGAAGGUGGAUAGCUGGCCAGACACUGACACUCAGACCCGAAAGCGUGGGGAUCAAACAGGAUUAGAAACCCGGGUAGUCC
rnacentral:rRNA from 1 species